rnacentral:rRNA from 1 species
UGGGGAAUAUUGCACAAUGGGCGAAAGCCUGAUGCAGCGACGCCGCGUGAACGAAGAAGUAUUUCGGUAUGUAAAGUUCUAUCAGCAGGGAAGAAAAAAUGACGGUACCUGACUAAGAAGCUCCGGCUAAAUACGUGCCAGCAGCCGCGGUAAUACGUAUGGAGCAAGCGUUAUCCGGAUUUACUGGGUGUAAAGGGAGCGUAGGCGGUCUUAUAAGUCUGAUGUGAAAGCCCGGGGCUCAACCCCGGGACUGCAUUGGAAACUGUAGGACUAGAGUGUCGGAGGGGUAAGUGGAAUUCCUAGUGUAGCGGUGAAAUGCGUAGAUAUUAGGAGGAACACCAGUGGCGAAGGCGGCUUACUGGACGAUUACUGACGCUGAGGCUCGAAAGCGUGGGGAGCAAACA